rnacentral:rRNA from 1 species
CCUACGGGUGGCAGCAGUGGGGAAUAUUGGACAAUGGGGGGAACCCUGAUCCAGCGACGCCGCGUGAGUGAAGAAGUAUUUCGGUAUGUGAAGCCCUAUCAGCAGGGAAGAAAGAAAUGACGGUACCUGACUAAGAAGCCCCGGCUAACUACGUGCCAGCAGCCGCGGUAAUACGUAGGGGGCAAGCGUUAUUCGGAUUUACUGGGUGUAAAGGGAGCGUAGACGGCGAUGCAAGUCUGAAGUGAAAGGCGGGGGCCCAACCCCCGGACUGCUUUGGAAACUGUAUGGCUGGAGUGAAGGAGAGGUAAGUGGAAUGCCUAGUGUAGCGGUGAAAUGCGUAGAUAUUAGGAGGAACACCAGUGGCGAAGGCGGCUUACUGGACUGUAACUGACGUUGAGGCUCGAAAGCGUGGGGAGCAAACAGGAUUAGAUACCCCUGUAGUC